AUUGGAGCGUCCAUGCCUGUACAUGCACUGUUCUCUCUGCCCGGAGGGCUCCUCUCCCUCCUGCUCCUCUUUUGAGUCAUCUCAAGGAUCACCCCCUCUGACAAUCAUCUCCUGACCAGCCCUCUCCCCCAGCCCACGGUGACUGCCUCUCUCCUGUGCUUCCAUGGAAACUGGUGAGAACUUCUAUCGUUCCUGUGCCAUGCUUCCUUGUAAAUCAUGGUUUAUGUGUCUGCCUCCACAAAAGCCAGCAAGCUCCCCAAGGUAGCGACUGUGUUUGUCCUGGCAUUGUGAUGGGCUCUGAAAAUAUUCGUUGAGUCAAAAUGUUAUUGAAAAGCAAAGUACAGAGAGAGGAGAGAAAAAGAGGGACAGUGAAGAGCGCGCAAGAGAUCAACAACCACAAACUGGUAAUAGCUGACGUUUAUUGAGUUCUGUCUGCGUGCUGGGUACUGUACUAAAUGCUUCACAGGGACUGUGUCGCUUAAUCUCCACAAUACCCCUGUAGAUGUUAUUGGACUCAUUUAACAAAGAUGAGAACUAAGGCACAGAGAGGUCACGUAACAUGCCCGAGAUGCCCCCGCGGUGCAUGGAGAGCCGAGAUCCACACACAGGCAGUUCUACUCCCGAGUCUACUCUCGGCCCUCCCAGCCGAGAGGGGGGGGGGCUUUGUCUGGAGCCGUUAUCUAUACUCACUAGUUCAACAAUCAUUUCCUUAGCCCCUACUCUGUGCCAGACUGAGAAUACAACAGGAUGCAGAGGAGGGCACAGAUACCACGACAGUCGCUCAUAAUCCGGCCCUGGAGGAGCUCACAUUUUAGCAGAGAAGGGAGAUCUGUAAACCAAUAGGCACGGUUCCCCUAAGGACAGUUACUGAGGAAUGUUCCUAGAGCUAUUGGAUCCCGCAGCAGGCAGAUGGAUUUGCUCUGCCAGGGGUGGCAUUUGCUUUGGAUCUUGAGAGAGAAGCACAGACUCACAGCAGGGAAAUGAGCGAGGGAGAGCGACAAGAUUCAAGGCAGAAGGAAAUGCAGAAAUGUUGUAAAGGAGGCAUGAACAUCUUGGCAAGUUGCAGAAGGAUGAGCUGUCCCCUGGUACUGGAUUGAGGAGUGUUGGCUGGACACUCUGGAUUGACUCACUCCACAUCCAUUCCCAGUGUGCUUGACUGUUCUGCAGAACUGGAAAUAAAGCCACAUUUCCAGAAUGGCUUGAAGCUACGGUUCUGGAUGGAAUUCUACUGAUCAGAUGCACUUUGCAAAACCUAUCAGUCUGUGGUAUGCAGUAGCAGAAAAGCUCAAGAAAUUUGAGGCUGCAAACAUCCUUUUCCCAGACAUCCAGGACCUAGGUCAAAUCUCUCGAUUUCAAGACAAGUAAUGCCAGUAGAAGAAUUUCCCACGAGCUUGGAAACAAACUGGGUUUUCUGCAGAGUUCCUGAGAGUUGGGCUGCUCUGAUUCUCGUCCUCUCUCCCUGUGCUGACCAUAUUUGGCUGGUGACAAAGCAGGUGCACAGUAAGAAUUUAUUGGAAAUGGUCAAUCCCCAGGGAAUGUAAGGCUUAAACAAAGUUCUUAUUUAUUUCCUCCAUUUAUUAUCAAAAUGUUAAACAUUUUGUUACUAUUAAAACUGUGAUUUUUUUAGAUGUAUUUUUAAUAAAUCAGUUACAU
rnacentral:lncRNA from 1 species